rnacentral:ncRNA from 1 species
UAACUCUGGAGAGUGAUGCUAAAGUAUCCGCCGAAGGGAUAACGAUCUCAGGCAAAAGGACAGAGGGGG